rnacentral:rRNA from 1 species
CCCUCAAGUGAGGAAUACCGGCGAGAAAUCGCCGACAAGACCGCAUAGGCUUGUCUUUGCUAGAAGGAGGCAAGCAAAGCUUAGUUUCGCGAGAAGCGGAGCGCUUGAGGAGGGCCCGCGGCCGAUUAGCUAGUUGGUGGGGUAACAGCUCACCAAGGCGACGAUCGGUAGCUGGUCUGAGAGGACGAGCAGCCACACUGGGAUUGAGAACGGCCCAG